CUCUGUAGACUGAAAGAACCUAGUGGGGAAACCCCCACUCAAUUCUCGAUUUAGCGUGCACCCAAGAGUCACGAACAGACGA
rnacentral:pre_miRNA from 7 species